UCUUCUCAGCUGGCACCUUUGUGAGGCUGGAAUUUAAGCUCCAGCAGACCAGCUGCCUGAAGAAGGACUGGAAAAAGCCAGAGUGUACAAUCAAACCAAAUGGGAGGAAGCGGAAAUGCCUGGCCUGCAUCAAACUGGACCCCAAGGGUAAAGUUCUAGGCCGGAUGGUCCACUGCCCAAUACUGAAGCAAGGGCCUCAGGUAAGAAGGGAAAGAGGUUAGGGAGAGGCCUGGAGGGACAGAUCAAAUCCAAGUCUGUAGGAGAAGUACAGGAAACCUGGAAAGAAGACCUGGGUAGGGGAUGGCUGGGACAUUCCCCUGGGGUUGUGGAGGUGCCUCCCUUCCUAGGCAUUGCUGCAACGAGCACUGGCUGCUUCUAGCAGGAGCCUCAGGAAUCCCAGUGCAGUAAGAUAGCACAGGCCGGCGAGGACUCCCGCAUCUACUUCUUCCCUGGGCAGUUUGCCUUCUCCAGGGCUCUACAAUCCAAAUAAGCCCUGGACAGGUACGUGGUUAAUGGGGAGGGCCAUUAGGGGUCAUGGGGAAAUUGGGCUAAAGGAGGAAGAAAGGGGACAUGUGAAAUGGAAAAAUAAAAGCCAAGAUCAGAACAAAAAUAACCUCCUACACACCCAAUCUGGUUUUCCCUUCUUCUGUAGGGUUUCAUCUUACUUCCUGUACAGCCGUGGCGGUACCCACCAUAUGGCCUCCCAAAGACUUUCAACUCCAGGCUAAUAAAACUGUUCCUUUCC
rnacentral:lncRNA from 1 species